rnacentral:rRNA from 1 species
CCUACGGGAGGCAGCAGUGAGGAAUAUUGGUCAAUGGACGAGAGUCUGAACCAGCCAAGUAGCGUGAAGGAGGACUGCCCUAUGGGUUGUAAACUUCUUUUAUAAAGGAAUAAAACGAGGCACGUGUGCCGUUUUGCAUGUACUGUAUGAAUAAGGAUCGGCUAACUCCGUGCCAGCAGCCGCGGUAAUACGGAGGAUCCGAGCGUUAUCCGGAUUUAUUGGGUUUAAAGGGAGCGUAGAUGGGUUGUUAAGUCAGUUGUGAAAGUUUGCGGCUCAACCGUAAAAUUGCAAUUGAUACUGGCAGUCUUGAGUACAGUUGAGGUAAGCGGAAUUCGUGGUGUAGCGGUGAAAUGCUUAGAUAUCACGAAGAACCCCGAUUGCGAAGGCAGCUUACUAAACUGUGACUGACAUUGAUGCUCGAAAGUGUGGGUAUCAAACAGGAUUAGAUACCCUGGUAGUC